AGCGAACGCUGGCGGCAGGCUUAACACAUGCAAGUCGAGCGCCCCGCAAGGGGAGCGGCAGACGGGAGAGUAACACGUGGGAACAUACCUUUUGGUUCGGAACAACUGAGGGAAACUUCAGCUAAUACCGGAUAAGCCCUUACGGGGAAAGAUUUAUCGCCGAAGGAUUGGCCCGCGUCUGAUUAGCUAGUUGGUGAGGUAACGGCUCACCAAGGCGACGAUCAGUAGCUGGUCUGAGAGGAGGAUCAGCCUCACUGGGACUGAGACACGGCCCAGACUCCUACGGGAGGCAGCAGUGGGGAAUAUUGGACAAUGGGGGCAACCCUGAUCCAGCCAUGCCGCGUGAGUGAUGAAGGCCUUAGGGUUGUAAAGCUCUUUUGCCCGGGAAGAUAAUGACGGUACCGGGAGAAUAAGCCCCGGCUAACUUCGUG
rnacentral:rRNA from 1 species